rfam:Lupinus angustifolius cultivar Tanjil chromosome LG02, whole genome shotgun sequence.
AGGUGCGAUCAUACCAGCAUUAAUGCACCGGAUCCAUUCAGAACUCCGCAGAUAAGCGUGCUUGGGCGAGAGUAGUACUAGGAUGGGUGACCUCCUGGUAAGUCCUCGUGUUGCACCUC